GUCCUUUUGGUAACAUCCGAUAAACUAGGAAUAUAAUACAAAGAAGAUUAGCAUAGACCCUGCGUAAGUAUAAUUUUUUUUUAAUUAUUUCCUCCUAUUUAU
rfam:Nicotiana attenuata strain TT chromosome 9, whole genome shotgun sequence.